UACGUAGGGUGCAAGCGUUAAUCGGAAUUACUGGGCGUAAAGCGUGCGCAGGCGGUUUUGUAAGUCUGUCGUGAAAGCCCCGGGCUCAACCUGGGAAUUGCGAUGGAGACUGCAAGGCUUGAAUCUGGCAGAGGGGGGUAGAAUUCCACGUGUAGCAGUGAAAUGCGUAGAGAUGUGGAGGAACACCGAUGGCGAAGGCAGCCCCCUGGGCCAAUACUGACGCUCAGGCACGAAAGCGUGGGGAGCAAACAGG
rnacentral:rRNA from 1 species